UACGUAGGGGGCAAGCGUUGUCCGGAUUCAUUGGGCGUAAAGCGCACGCAGGCGGCUCUUCAAGUCUGACGUGAAAUCUCUCGGCUUAACCGGGAGCGGUCGUUGGAAACUGAAGGGCUUGAGGCGAUGAGAGGGGUGUGGAAUUCCCGGUGUAGUGGUGGAAUGCGUAGAUAUCGGGAGGAACAUCAGUGGCGAAGGCGGCAUUCUGGACCGAAACUGACGCUGAGGCGCGAAAGCCAGGGGAGCAAACGGG
rnacentral:rRNA from 1 species